GAUGAACGCUAGCGGCAGGCUUAAUACAUGCAAGUCGAGGGGCAGCAUGAGUGUAGCAAUACAUUUGAUGGCGACCGGCAAACGGGUGCGGAACACGUACACAACCUUCCUAUAAGUGGGGAAUAGCCCAGAGAAAUUUGGAUUAAUACCCCGUAACAUAAUGAUGUGGCAUCACAUUAUUAUUAUAGCUUCGGCGCUUAUUGAUGGGUGUGCGGCUGAUUAGAUAGUUGGCGGGGUAACGGCCCACCAAGUCUACGGUCAGUAGCUGAUGUGAGAGCAUGAUCAGCCACACGGGCACUGAGACACGGGCCCGACUCCUACGGGAGGCAGCAGUAAGGAAUAUUGGUCAAUGGACGCAAGUCUGAACCAGCCAUGCCGCGUGAAGGAUUAAGGUCCUCUGGAUUGUAAACUUCUUUUAUCUGGGACGAAAAAAGGCGAUUCUUCGUCACUUGACGGUACCAGAUGAAUAAGCACCGGCUAACUCCGUGCCAGCCGCCGCGGUAAUAC
rnacentral:rRNA from 1 species